AGGCGCUGCGGGAACCGGGGCUGCAGGGCUACUACCGUCCCCCGGGCUGCGAGGAGUGGGAGACACGGAGAGUUUGUUUGCACAAACAAGCUCGGAGGGAGAAGUCGAGAGGCGGGAACAGUCUGCUUUUGCUAAGAGUGGAAAUGCCUCUGCUGAAAUGAUCUUGUGGGAAUAGGAAGAUGCAAGAAGAAAAUGUUCAAGUAAUCUGUAAAGCCUGCACAAUGCUACAAACAGAAGGAAAGUUCACAUAAGGAAAUGAGAGCUGAAGGAUAGUGAUUGAUCAGUAUCAUAUGCUGUCCUCAUGUGCUGCCAUCUCCAAAGAGGAAACCAGUUUUUCCAGUUAUAAAUGAGAUUAACCGUGAAAAGUGAGAAAAGGAAGAUGCUGAGGGUGUACCUGAGCAGUAUUUCCACAGCACUUCCAAAAGGUAAUACGAGAUAAUGCUUUGAGAGAACAAUGUGGGCAGAGUAAAGGAGCCUCUAACCAGGGUAUGUUGGGACUUCACUUUGCAGGGAUGAGGCAAGUGGAGGCACAAUAGAGACAGGAGAUUUCAGUUUUAAGGUGAACUUGAUUGCAGGCUUCUGACAACCUUCUCAAGGACACAACCCAUGAGGCAGAAGGCUAAAUUUGGAUUUGAUCCAUGGCUGGCCAGUAGCUUUCUGUUGAUGGGUGUUGAACACAGUCUGCUGGAGGCAACCCUGUCUCAAAAAGUCCCUACACUAACAGUCAGUGGGAGCUGUGAAAGAAAAAGAACGGAAACACAGCUCAAGGCCCACUACUUACAGCAUUGUCCUGAGCCUCCAUUGCUGACAGCAUUCAGGACAGUCUCCUGGAGUCCACUUUUAUACACUGAAAGGCCCCAACGAGGUCAUCCUGAAGCCUUCCCUUCUCCAGGCUGAACAGGCCCAGCUCUCUCAGCCUGUCCUCAUGGGAGACGUGCUCCAGCCCUCUGAUCAUCUUCAUGACCCUCCUGUGGACUUCUGUGCAGACUAAAGGAAAGAAAUAUAUGUCCUGUGCUUUAUCUGGUCCCCUCUUCCCAUGCAGGUUCUGGCCCCAGAUCCAGCAUGGUACUUAAUAACCUGAAGAUUCCUGCAGCAGAAGCAAGAGUUAAAGCAAAAAAAUGGCAGAGAACCUGGAUCCCAGUGAUACCAUGGUGGCUUGAGUGGUCUCUGCUCAGUGCAUGUCUCUGCUUCUGGCAGGGGAGGAACAGGGACAAAUACAUCAUAUGUUCUGAAGAGACCUCAGUAGUCACUGCAGCAUCACACUGAGCACAGACUCCAAAAGCCUUGCUCAUAGGAGGAUUGAGUCCAUUUGGAAGCGUUGGAGAUGACACAUCUGGUAAAUAGCUUUCUUUUGGGAGAAUAGCUGCUCUCCUUUGCCAUUCCUGGGCUGGCACUGCUCACCAGUCUCUGAGCAAGAAAUCCAAGCCAAACACCACGUCCAGUGGUUCCUGUCUGGAGAGGACAUGGGUCUUCCACAUUCAGCUGUAGUGAAGAAGAGUAUAAUAAAAUAAAAAUGAAUACAAGAUUUUGUUGUUACUGUCUUCAAUAUUUCUGUUUCU